rnacentral:rRNA from 1 species
GAACGGGUGAGUAACACGUGGGAAACCUACCUCUUAGCAGGGGAUAACAUUUGGAAACAGAUGCUAAUACCGUAUAACAAUGACAACCGCAUGGUUGUUAUUUAAAAGAUGGUUCUGCUAUCACUAAGAGAUGGUCCCGCGGUGCAUUAGCUAGUUGGUAAGGUGAUGGCUUACCAAGGCGAUGAUGCAUAGCCGAGUUGAGAGACUGAUCGGCCACAAUGGGACUGAGACACGGCCCAUACUCCUACGGGAGGCAGCAGUAGGGAAUCUUCCACAAUGGGCGAAAGCCUGAUGGAGCAACGCCGCGUGUGUGAUGAAGGGUUUCGGCUCGUAAAACACUGUUGUAAGAGAAGAAUGACAUUGAGAGUAACUGUUCAAUGUGUGACGGUAUCUUACCAGAAAGGAACGGCUAAAUACGUGCCAGCAGCCGCGGUAAUACGUAUGUUCCAAGCGUUAUCCGGAUUUAUUGGGCGUAAAGCGAGCGCAGACGGUUAUUUAAGUCUGAAGUGAAAGCCCUCAGCUCAACUGAGGAAUUGCUUUGGAAACUGGAUGACUUGAGUGCAGUAGAGGAAAGUGGAACCCCAUGUGUAGCGGUGAAAUGCGUAGAUAUAUGGAAGAACACCAGUGGCGAAAGCGGCUUUCUGGACUGUAACUGACGUUGAGGCUCGAAAGUGUGGGUAGCAAACAGGAUUAGAUACCCUGGUAGUCCACACCGUAAACGAUGAGUGCUAGUGUUUGAGGGUUUCCGCCCUUAAGUGCCGCAG